rnacentral:rRNA from 1 species
UACGUAGGGGGCAAGCGUUGUCCGGAAUCAUUGGGCGUAAAGAGCGUGUAGGCGGCUCGAUAAGUCUGCUGUGAAAGUCGGGGGCUCAACCCUCGAAUGCCGGUGGAUACUGUCGGGCUAGAGUGCGGAAGAGGCGAGUGGAAUUCCUGGUGUAGCGGUGAAAUGCGCAGAUAUCAGGAGGAACACCGAUUGCGAAGGCAGCUCGCUGGGACGUAACUGACGCUGAGACGCGAAAGCGUGGGGAGCAAACAGG